GAUGAACGCUGGCGGCGUGCCUAAUACAUGCAAGUCGAGCGAACGGACGAGAAGCUUGCUUCUCUGAUGUUAGCGGCGGACGGGUGAGUAACACGUGGAUAACCUACCUAUAAGACUGGGAUAACUUCGGGAAACCGGAGCUAAUACCGGAUAAUAUUUUGAACCGCAUGGUUCAAAAGUGAAAGACGGUCUUGCUGUCACUUAUAGACGGAUCCGCGCUGCAUUAGCUAGUUGGUAAGGUAACGGCUUACCAAGGCAACGAUGCAUAGCCGACCUGAGAGGGUGAUCGGCCACACUGGAACUGAGACACGGUCCAGACUCCUACGGGAGGCAGCAGUAGGGAAUCUUCCGCAAUGGGCGAAAGCCUGACGGAGCAACGCCGCGUGAGUGAUGAAGGUCUUCGGAUCGUAAAACUCUGUUAUUUGGGAAGAACAUAUGUGUAAGUAACUGUGCACAUCUUGACGGUACCUAAUCAGAAAGCCACGGCUAACUACGUG
rnacentral:rRNA from 1 species